UCGGGAAUUUUGGGCAAUGGGGGAAACCCUGACCCAGCAACGCCGCGUGAAGGAUGAAGUAUUUCGGUAUGUAAACUUCGAAAGAAUAGGAAGAAUAAAUGACGGUACUAUUUAUAAGGUCCGGCUAACUACGUGCCAGCAGCCGCGGUAAUACGUAGGGACCAAGCGUUGUUCGGAUUUACUGGGCGUAAAGGGCGCGUAGGCGGUGUGUCAAGUCAGUUGUGAAAUCUCCGAGCUUAACUCGGAACGGUCAACUGAUACUGUCACACUAGAGUACAGAAGGGGCAAUCGGAAUUCUUGGUGUAGCGGUGAAAUGCGUAGAUAUCAAGAGGAACACCUGAGGCGAAGGCGGGUUGCUGGGCUGAUACUGACGCUGAGGCGCGAAAGCUAGGGUAGCAAACGGGAUUAGAUACCCCAGUAGUCCCUGAGCGGGC
rnacentral:rRNA from 1 species